GAUGAACGCUGGCGGCGUGCCUAAUACAUGCAAGUCGAGCGAACGGACGAGAAGCUUGCUUCUCUCAUGUUAGCGGCGGACGGGUGAGUAACACGUGUAUAACCUCCCUAUCAGACUGGGAUAACUUCGGGAAACCGGCGCUAAUACCGUAUAAUAUUUUGAACCGCAUGGUUCAAAAGUGAAAGACGGUCUUGCUGUCACUUCUAGCUGGAUCCGCGCUGCAUUAGCUAGUUGGUAAGGUAACGGCCUACCAAGGCAACGAUGCAUAGCCGACCUGAGAGAGUGAUCGGCCACACUGGAACUGAGACACGGUCCAGACUACUAAGAGAGGCAGCAGUAGGGAAUCUUACGCAAUGGGCGAAAGCAUGACGGAGCAACGCCGCGUGAGUGAUGAAGGUCUUCGGAGCGUAAAGCUCUGUUAUUAGGGAAGAACAGAUGUGGAAGUAACUGUGCAGAGCUUGACGGUACCGAAUCAGAAAGCCACGGCUAACUACGUG
rnacentral:rRNA from 1 species